rnacentral:rRNA from 1 species
UACAGAGGGUGCAAGCGUUGUUCGGAAUUAUUGGGCGUAAAGAGCUCGUAGGCGGUCUGUCGCGUCGAUCGUGAAAACUUGGGGCUUAACCCUGAGCUUGCGGUCGAUACGGGCAUGACUGGAGUUCGGCAGGGAGACUGGAAUUCCUGGUGUAGCAGUGAAAUGCGUAGAUAUCAAGAGGAACACCAGUGGCGAAGGCGAGUCCCUGGACGAUACCUGACACUGAGGCACGAAAGCAUGGGGAGCAAACAGG